rnacentral:rRNA from 1 species
UGGGGAAUAUUGCACAAUGGAGGGAACUCUGAUGCAGCGACGCCGCGUGAACGAAGAAGGCUUUCGAGUCGUAAAGUUCUUUUAUAUGGGAAGAUAAUGACGGUACCAUAAGAAGAAGCCCCGGCUAACUACGUGCCAGCAGCCGCGGUAAUACGUAGGGGGCUAGCGUUGUCCGGAAUCACUGGGCGUAAAGGGUUCGCAGGCGGAAAUGCAAGUCAGGUGUAAAAGGCAGUAGCUUAACUACUGUAAGCAUUUGAAACUGCAUAUCUUGAGAAGAGUAGAGGGAAGUGGAAUUUUUAGUGUAGCGGUGAAAUGCGUAGAUAUUAAAAAGAAUACCGGUGGCGAAGGCGACUUACUGGGCUCAUUCUGACGCUGAGGAACGAAAGCGUGGGUAGCAAACAGG